rnacentral:lncRNA from 1 species
AACUAUGUGCUUCUGCCUUUGCUAGGAGAACAUGCCAGGGCUGGCCUGUUGGAGGGCUGGGAGAGUGAGGUGGGGAGCAGCAUUUAGGUUGUCUCUCACCCAAGACAGAAAAUAAUCAGAUUGACAGAUUUCACUUUUCUCCAAGACUCAUUACUCAUCUGUUGUGUGUAGAUUUCGGCAGGGGUUCAAGAAAGCAUAUUGAUGCAUGUAUGUUGCGGUCUUAAUGCAAAUCUGAUCUAGCCUUAGAACUCUGAGCAUACCAAGAACCUAAGGGUAAAUUUAUUUUUCAUACGCAUUACCCCUUUGAAACUUGAAGAAAGACAAGGAGGAACAUAGAAUGAAAAGCAGAUUAAAAUGAAGGGUACGUGCUGAAGGCUGGUUGGUCCACACGAUCAGACCCAGCUGGAUGUCUUAUACCUCCUCUUCUUUGUCAGUAGACUCCUGAAUUAUUAAGUUCAAUAAGAAAGGAAAGGGAUGGAAAGGAUUCGGAGUGUCUUAUUUCAGGUGUAAACCUUUAUGAUGUCUUCGUAUAUUCCUGUACCGCGUGCAAGCAUUGGAGGUUUGUGGCUGGAAAUCCUUCAAAGGUGACAAUGUACAGAAGAGUUGAUAUGAAUCAAGACUGGAUGAAUGAAGCCAUUGGAUGAAUUCACGCUUCUCAACAUCUAAGCCUUCGGCACACCCUUUGGUGGAAUUCAAAGUUUCUGCGGAGCAGAGAGCAGUAAUUAACAGUGAGACCUUAUGAUGAGCAAAUCACAGAGUCUGGGGUUGGACAUGUGACUUCCUUUGGCCACCAGAAUGUUGCCAAGAAAAGCACAACUCUGAAGUAAGUCACCUAAGGCCACGCAGCUAGGAGAUAAAUGAAUCAACAUUGAAACCCAAUUUUGUUGCUUAGUAUCCCACAUUCUCAAACUAUAUUAUCUGUCCUUAUUGUGAAUAAAAAGUGUUCUUAUUAACACUACAUUCUUGGCUCAGUGCUAAGCUCUGUGGCCCAUUGUCCAGCACUUGACCAGGUCCCCGGCAGGCACUGAGCCAUUUGAUGCAGAGGAAUGCUGAGCAGCGUGAGGCCAGGCAGGCCCAACUGGCCAGGUGACGCCUGGCCAGAUGGUUCCUCCCCCCGGCGCCCCCAGAGGCCACUAUUGAAAACCUGAAAGAGACAAAAAGCCUGUGGAAUCCUCCAAGGGGACCAGAUGCUGCUUAGGGAAAACCUCUCCACACUGUGGCAUCAGGGAACGGGUGGUGCAAGAGAAGCUUCAAGAAUGAUGAACAGAACAAGAAACUGCCUCACUUGACAAUAAAAUAAAUGCCCACCACCUCCUGUUUCCUCGUUAAUGAUUAUUAAAAUGAUCCUGGUACAAGAUUAAUAUUAAAAACUGAUGCUUAGUAAUAAACUUCUCACAGCUAUCUUCAAGAUUUCCAGGGAGUAAUAGCUGAAAGGGAAAACUGAACAAGAGGAGUCUUCCUGUGUGUUGUAGUGCCUGGGUGUGUAUUUCUUUCCACUGCUAGUACUUUUGUUGGCAAAUAGUGCACGCUGUUGGAGCCUAUCCCCCAGACCUUAAGUAGGGGCAGUGGGUCGUGUGGGAUGGAGCCCUAUCAAAUGGGGCUGGACUCUGGUUUUGUCUGCUGUGACCCCGGGGGUGCCCGCUGGGAUCUGUGAGCAGGCAGAGGCCGGUGGGAGCACCCUCCGCCUCCCUUUGUUCCGCCGGGCUCCAGCCUGCAGCAGCUGAUCCGGUUAUUAUGCUCCUGAAAAGAAUUUCUAGGUGGCCACAGUGACCAUAAGGAGCAGAGAAACCACGAGGGCUGCAAGCCACGAAGAGCAACACAUCGGCUAUUGAGCACUAAUCCCACCCAUAAUUAGAGGAUCCCUUCAGCCUUGUGGUGCUCACAGAAAUCUGAACUAAGGCAGAGAGGAGCCGUCUGAGGUCUGUAGGCCACCGUUUACCAAAUGUGCUGUCAUCAGCGCAAUUAGCUUAUUUGGUGGGAUCGGCGUUUUAAAAAGAAAAACAGAAAGCUGUAUAGAACAUAGACUUGGGGCAAAAACUGAAUUUAAGAUGUAGUUAAAGUCACCUUUGAUUUCUCAGCUUCCUUCCCCCACCCCAUUCUUAAAAUCAUGCAUUUUAAUGAAAAUUUGAUCUGCGUGGGUCUGAUUUGUUUACUUGGGACUCAUCCAAAUGCUGUUUUGUAAGAGCGAUUUCAUAUCUAACAGAUUUGCAUAACUUGGGCUAUACUUCUCAGAAAGAAAAACUCAUGUUGGGCCCUAAAUGAACAGAUUUAUCGCUCUGAGACUUGUCCAGGCUUUACGGUGGCAGUUGCUCUCUGCCUACUCUGCUCUCCCUUGUCUUCAUCCCAGGCAUCCCAAGGUUUCUGCUAUACUAAAGAAAAGCUGCGCCCAUCAUCUGAAUCUAACCUUCGUGGGUGCUCAGGAACCUGUCACCUGUUCUAAAAUUCCACCUGCUAUUUUAAUUCACCACAUGCCGCCCGUUGGCUAAGUGGAAGAAAAUGAACAUCUGAUCACAAAGUCACUAAUUAUGUUUAAUUACUGGCUAAAAUAUUAACUUUCAAAAAGGAAGAUAACUUUUGAAAGUGAUAUGAAUUCACCACUGUUGUAAUCUAUUUAAAUUCAUGUGUUACAAAUAAAUUACAAGAGAGAGGAAGA